rnacentral:rRNA from 1 species
GACGAACGCUGGCGGCGUGCUUAACACAUGCAAGUCGAGCGGUAAGGCCCUGCGUGGUACACGUGCUCCAAUGGCGAACGGGUGACUAAGACGUUCUUCACCUCCCUUUGGCUUAGGGAUGGGUACCUGGGUCUAAUACUAGUAAUGGAUACCUACUGCUUCUGCGGGGGGGGAGUGGUUUAUUUGUGGCGGUUGGGGAUGGACCCGCGGCGUAUCAGCUUGUGGGUGGGGCAGUGGCUUACCAAGGCGAUGACGGGUAGCCGGCCUGAGAGGGUGACCGGCCACACUGGGACUGAGACACGGCCCAGACUCCUACGGGAGGCAGCAGUGGGGAAUAUUGCACAAUGGGCGGAAGCCUGAUGCAGCAACGCCGCGUGAGGGAUGACGGCCUUCGGGUUGUAAACCGCUUUCGCCAGUGACGAAGCGUGAGUGACGGUAAUGGGUAAAGAAGCACCGGCUAACUACGUG